rnacentral:tRNA from 1 species
GUCGCACAAGCCGAAAUGGUGAGGCACCUGGCUUCCAACCAGGAGUACCGGGUUCGAUUCCCGGGUGCGGCU